rnacentral:rRNA from 1 species
CACGUAGGCGGACCGGAAAGUUGGAGGUGAAAUCCCAGGGCUCAACCUUGGAACUGCCUUCAAAACUAUCGGUCUGGAGUUCGAGAGAGGUGAGUGGAAUUCCGAGUGUAGAGGUGAAAUUCGUAGAUAUUCGGAGGAACACCAGUGGCGAAGGCGGCUCACUGGCUCGAUACUGACGCUGAGGCGCGAAAGCGUGGGGAGCAAACA